rnacentral:rRNA from 1 species
CACGUAGUUAGCCGGGGCUUCCUCCUCGAGUACCGUCAUUAUCUUCCUUGAGGACAGAGCUUUACGACCCGAAGGCCUUCAUCGCUCACGCGGCGUUGCUGCAUCAGGCUUUCGCCCAUUGUGCAAUAUUCCCCA